CGUAAUCACUUGUCUUUUAAAUAAAGACUAGUAUGAAUGGCAUCACGAGAGUUCAACUGUCUCCCGCACCCAAUCAGUGAAACUGAUCUCCCCGUGCANAAGCGGGGAUAAAACCAUAAGACGAGAAGACCCCAUGGAGCUUUAAACUAAAGGCACUANCCCCUAAUUAACCCCUUAGGGUAAAACAUUUUAACCGGCUAAAGUGACCUGUCGUUCUCGGNUGNNGCGACCACGGAGAAAAACAAANCCUCCGAGAUGAAAGGGACAACCCUUAGCCAAGACCAACAAUUCUAAGCAAUAGAACGUCUAACACACUGAUCCAAUCAGAUUGAUCAACGAACCAAGUUACCCUGGGGAUAACAGCGCAAUCUAUUUUCAGAGUUCAUAUCGACAAAUAGGUUUACGACCUCGAUGUUGGAUCAGGGCCUCCUAGCGGUG
rnacentral:rRNA from 1 species